rnacentral:lncRNA from 1 species
GUUAUUACUACUAGAAAUAAUCACAAAAAACUAAAAUUUUCUUGGAGUUAGAUCUCAAUUUUUACAUAAACUUUGUUUCAAUCUUGUUGUCCUUCUCCUCUUGAAUUAGAAGGUACACUAAUUCAAAUUUUACUCGAAAAGAAAUUUUUUAUUUUGAUCUAUCUAUUUUGAGGUUUAAACAUCAUCAUAGAUCAACCUCCGUUGCAUGUAGAGAAUCCCAUGUAGAGAAUCCCUUGAGGGUGCUUGCACUCUUGUGGUGCUCAUCGAGAGCUUCAUCAUUUUGGCGUCUGGCACAGUGAAAACAAAUGUCGUAUGAGAAAUUACGAUAUUGAAAGUUUUUGUUCAUAAUCGAGUACUAGAUAUGAUAGAUCUUACUCCAAGACCACAUCUAGACAUAGCCAAACUAGUCCACAGCCCUCUUGGAUCAUCUAUAAUCCUAAAUUAUGCAUUUGACCCUAUCCAAUCUAUUUGGCAAGGUUGAAUACUUAAUGGACCAACCUAACAUAUCAAAUCUUGCUGUUAAAAUUCUUAUCGGCUCAUUUCUAGAAUGAUUAAAGAAUUAUUGUUAAAAGUGACUAGACACUUAGAAAACUCUUGGUUAAUAUCAUGAUUUAACUGAAUUUAAAUUUUUCUAGUCCCAAU